GACGAACGCUGGCGGCGUGCCUAAUACAUGCAAGUCGAACGCAUUUUCUUUCACCGUAGCUUGCUACACCGAAAGAAAAUGAGUGGCGAACGGGUGAGUAACCCUUCGGUAACCUGCCCAUCAGCGGGGGAUAACACUUGCUAACAGGUGCUAAUACCUCAUAAUUCCAUUUUCCGCAGUGUAGAUGGGUGAAAGGCUCUUUUGUGUCUCUGUUGGAUGGACCCGCGGUGCAUUGGCAGGUUGGUGGGGUAACGGGCUACCAAGGCUGCCAUGCAUAGGCGACCUGGGAGGGGGAUCGGGCACACUGGGAACGAGACAAGGCCCAGAAUCCUACGGGAGGGAGCAGGAGGGGAUCUUCGGCAAUGGAGCCAAGUCUGAACGAGCAACGCCGCGGGAGUGAAGAAGGGUUUCGGAUCGGAAAACUCCGUUGUUAGAGAAGAAAAAGGAUGAGAGUGGAAAGUUCAUCCCUUGACGGUAUCUAACCAGAAAGCCACGGCUAACUACGUG
rnacentral:rRNA from 1 species